GCUUAUCACCAUUCCAGAUUGAAUAUACCCGAUCUCGUCUAAUCUCGGAAGUCAAGCAAUCUGGGGCUGG
rnacentral:rRNA from 1 species